GCAGGAUCAACCAGGUAGCACUCCUCGUUCGACACCGGCACGCAUGAGCCAUCUCCUUUGAGGGAGAGGGUCAACUCGUGCGCGGUAGUCGUCCGUGCUUAGCGUAAAACGCUGAACUGGGCAUGCCAACAAUGAUCCUCCAUUCCCUCUCCACAUUCCGCCUCCCCGGGCACCACUAAAGGCCCUACCCCUGACCCUCCACGCCUUGGAUUUGUCCUCCAGGGUGGGGGAACGAUCCCGCUACCAUGGUCCACCAAACACCCGGAAGGGUAUCUGGCGGAAACCAAUGAUUUAAGAAAACAAUACCAUCAAUAAGAAUGGAACACAGAAAACUUUACCUCGCCCAAGGGUUAUCGCACUUGGAACAAACACUGGAGAAGUUUAUCAACGUGCGGGUCCAUGCACCAACAUGGAACCCGCCAGCCAAAAAAACCAAUCAACAC
rnacentral:misc_RNA from 1 species